GAAACUAACCAGGAUUCCCCCAGUAACGGCGAGUGAACGGGGAUUAGCCCAGCAUCGAAGCCUAUGGUUAUUUGACUUUAAGGCAAUGUGAUGUUAUGGAUUGUGCCUAGGGUCACUGGUCAACUCGAAGUCCAAUAUUGAAUGUGGCUUUUGUAUUUAGCCCAGAGCGGGUGAUAGGCCCGUGCGAGUUGAUUGUUAGUUAUGUUGAGUGGCCUCUGGAUGCACAGUCUUUGGAGUCGGAUUGCUUGAGAAUGCAGUCCAAAGUUGGUGGUAAACUCCAUCAAAGGCUAAAUACUGGCACGAGUCCGAUAGCAAACAAGUCCCGUGAGGGAAAGUUGAAAAGUACUCUGAAGAGAGAGUAAAUAGUACGUGAAACCACAUGCAGGUAAACGGGUGGAGUCCAGCUGCGUAUUUUGUGGGCUUAGCUGGCAUGUGAAUUUAUGGGUGUUGUAAACUGCCACAUAUUGGUUUGUCGAUAAGGGCAAGUUAGGCCUGGCCUAAUUUAAGUUCUAUCAUGUAGAUUGUAUUAGCCAUAUGUGUGUAUAUAUGUGUGUGUUUGCAUGCCAGUGAUUUUCCACAAGAUUGACAUCACAGUCAAUAUAGCUGCUAGUAUGUGAUGUGUCAAACCGACAAGUGGUGGACCUUGAAGUUCAUUCUUGGCCGGGAUGGCAGGUGAUUUGAGCAUUAUAUGCGCCUUGUGUGUGUGUAUUGUUUAAAUUUAAACUAUGGCUAUGGCCAGCCGACCAUCAUGUUGUUUUUGUUUACAUUUAACUAUGCAGUAUAUUGGUUAUAGUUUGUGUUUGUGCGCAAUUUUUAUUGUGCUGCGUCACCGGGUGGUGUUCAUGUUAGGUUAAGCGUAAAAGCGUGCCUAAUGUGGUGCAUGCCUGUGUGCGUGUGCAAUGGGAUUGUGGACGCGUGAACUGUGGUGCUGUGGUA
rnacentral:rRNA from 1 species